rnacentral:lncRNA from 1 species
UGCAGUUAAAGGUGUUCAGCUUAUGGCUUUUCUUCUGAGCAGUACGUGCUUCUAUGCCCUUUUCAAAUAAAAUUGAUUCUGGAAUUGUUAUGUCAAAACAUAAUUGCAAGCACAGAUUAAAGUAUAUGGAUCAGUUUUGUUUUAUAAUUAUGUUCUUUGAUGUUUGCUUCUGUUUACUUUUUUUAUUAAUGAUUUCCUAUAGCAUCAUAAACAUGUAUCAUUGUUUAUCAUGACCCGAUUCCCAUAAUCAGUGGAAGCUUCCAAUCAUGAUCUAGUAUUCAUGUUUAAAACACGAUAGCAUAGACGUGUAAAUCGGGACAUAGACCAACUGACACAGGAACAUAUUGAUUUGACAAAGAACAAGAAAGAAAGGGGAUCCAAGAAAAUAAUGAUUAAUUUUUAAAUAUUUGAGCUUCGAUUAAUAUUACGAUUAAUAAGUCCUCUAUUUAUAGAGCAACCAAUCUACAAUUUAAAAAGUUUUAAAAGCUAUAACUUUAUCAAAAUAUUUAAUUUAAUUUAAUAUAAUCUAAAUAGUAAUAGUAUCCGUUGAACUUUUAUUAUAAAUUUCUAUCUAUCAUCUAUGCGAUCUCUAUCUCCAUCACCAACACUAUCAUGCAGGAUUGAGGUUGCACGAGCUCGACUUCUUCUUGAACCACCUCAUUUUAAAAGUUUUAGUUGCUACAUAGGAAAAUUUAUAAAUAUCAAAUCUACAACCAAGCCCCUCAUGAACCAACCUGAUCCGUGACACGCACGCUUUGGUAAGUCUGACACAACUAAGAUUGUAGCCAGAUAGGUUUAAGACGGUAAGUUUAGAAUUCUUGCAUUGCAUAUCUGACAUGAUCUUGUCCUACCAAUUGCACCAGUGAGUCAACUUGUACUAAAUUUCUAUGUUAAUCGAGUCCUGACUGACCAAACUAGAUGGAAGACAUACAUAUUUGUGGAGACUCAUUCAUUUUACAUGUUCAAUUUUUUUCCUGAGAACAGGCAUGUUUCUGUUUAGCGUCAAUCUAAUGUCUCAAACAACUGAGGCGUGCCCUGAAAUUUGCUAUGACGUCCUAUCCAUGAGAUGCAAUGGUACGACAGUACGUCCACCUCAGUGCAACUGUUGCCUGGUUCAAGAGGGAUGCACCCUUCACCUUGCCAAUGGAGAAUCAAUUUUUUGUUAACGUAUAAAUGAAAGUUUUCGGGCUCGCUUACGGAAAAAAGAAAGUGCCUUUUGUGUAGUAUACAAAGAAAUGGGUUGACGUUGUGUUGACGGAGUUUGUCUAAAGAAUAAAAGUCCAUGUAAAAUUGUCUUUUUCUGAUCUUUUGUAGCUAAAAGGUCUUUGUACUAUAUGUAUCCGCAUAAAUUUG